rnacentral:rRNA from 1 species
UACGGAGGGUGCAAGCGUUAUCCGGAUUCACUGGGUUUAAAGGGUGCGUAGGUGGGCAGUUAAGUCAGUGGUGAAAUCUCCGGGCUCAACCCGGAAACUGCCAUUGAUACUAUCUGUCUUGAAUAUCGUGGAGGUAAGCGGAAUAUGUCAUGUAGCGGUGAAAUGCUUAGAUAUGACAUAGAACACCAAUUGCGAAGGCAGCUUACUACACAACGAUUGACGCUGAGGCACGAAAGCGUGGGGAUCAAAACAGG